CGGGCGAGUGAUACGACUUAAGACGCGCCACGUGGACCACGUCGGAGAGAUGCUGAGCCACGGUUGGCUCAAGAGUUGCGACUUCGUACGUGACGUCAGUUACCUGACGCUAGACACGGCAAACUCGAGGCACCCGGGUCUAGAGAACAUUUCCGGCCAGCGACUGCCUGCCGCGCUGAUCAGCUUGCCACAGACAAGGAUAGUAGCGAGUCACCGACAGCGGAUUCAGAGAACUCGUGCCUUGAUCAGCCACCUUUCCAGUGACUGGCGUCACCACUGACCAAGCUGCACGUAAUCGACGGGAGCGCCCUCUGAGUCACCUAUAAAUAGCCACAGCAGCCAUCAUCGUGUGGGAUUUGCAGCCGAGUACAGUGUACAGCCGAGUACAGCCGAGUACACAGAGUACGCUCUGUGUUUUGUAGGUCCAGGAAAUUGGUGACGCUGGUGCCAACUGCAUUCUGGAACGGGACUUCACCUAUCAUUUCUAUGCCUUCCUGCACGACGGCGAA